ACCCGCUGAAUUUAGCAUAUAUUAAGCGGAGGAAAGAAACUAACUAGGAUUCCCUCAGUAACGGCGAGUGAAGCGGGACUAGCUCAGGAUGUGAAUCUGCGCUUUUAUGGCGCCGAAUUGUGGUCUAUAGACUUUGACGUUAUCUGCCGGGCCAAGUUCCUUGGAAAAGGACAGCUGAGAGGGUGAGACUCCCGUCCGCCUGGUAGAAUGAGUCUUUGUCAACGAGUCGAGUUGUUUGGGAUUGCAGCUCUAAUUUGGUGGUAAAUUCCAUCUAAAGCUAAAUAUUGGUGGGAGACCGAUAGCGUACAAGUACCGUGAGGGAAAGAUGCAAAGAACUUUGAAAAGAGAGUUAAAGAGUACCUGAAAUUGCUGAAACGGAAGCGAAGGAAACCAGUGUUUGUUGGUUCAUAUUUCCCUGGCCACUUGUGGUUUGGGCGCUGUGAGCUUGCGUGGGUUUGCUUUGGUUGAUCCCUUUGGAAGAGCGCAGACAGAGUUGAUGUCUGUUGCUAGCACUGGGUUUGACUAAUGCAGACGAAAUGGUUUUCUUUACCCCGUCUUGAAACACGGGCCAAGG
rnacentral:rRNA from 1 species